AACGAACGCUGGCGGCAGGCCUAACACAUGCAAGUCGAGCGGAGAUGAGGUGCUUGCACCUUAUCUUAGCGGCGGACGGGUGAGUAAUGCUUAGGAAUCUGCCUAUUAGUGGGGGACAACAUUCCGAAAGGAAUGCUAAUACCGCAUACGCCCUACGGGGGAAAGCAGGGGAUCUUCGGACCUUGCGCUAAUAGAUGAGCCUAAGUCGGAUUAGCUAGUUGGUGGGGUAAAGGCCUACCAAGGCGACGAUCUGUAGCGGGUCUGAGAGGAUGAUCCGCCACACUGGGACUGAGACACGGCCCAGACUCCUACGGGAGGCAGCAGUGGGGAAUAUUGGACAAUGGGCGGAAGCCUGAUCCAGCCAUGCCGCGUGUGUGAAGAAGGCCUUUUGGUUGUAAAGCACUUUAAGCGAGGAGGAGGCUACCUGGAUUAAUACUCUAGGAUAGUGGACGUUACUCGCAGAAUAAGCACCGGCUAACUCUGUGCCAGCCGCCGCCGUAAGAC
rnacentral:rRNA from 1 species